CAAACCCUAACCUAGCCCACAUCCACUGGGACGGCGACGAGAUGGCGCUCCGCCGCCGCGGUCCGUCGUCGGCGUCGGCGCCGCCGCUGGAGGACGAGAACCUCCCUUCUCGACGCUCCCGACCGCAUCCCGUGGGAGCGCUUCUCGCUGCGACCCGGCGGCCACGGCGACGAGAUUGAUUUCUGGGCUCUGCUCGGGUACCGCCAUGGGCGCGUUCUCUUCGUCAGCACGUUUGGUCGUGCGCUCCUUGUGUUUGACCCCGUCUCCGGCGACCGCCGCCGCGUGGCCAUUCCGCUGGAUUUCGCCUGGUAUGUCUUGGGUGGAGCUGUGCUCUGCGCCGCCGGCGACGACCAGGACCACGUGCACGGAGACUGCCACUCGAGCCCCUUUAAGGUGGUCCUGGUAGGCACCAGAUUGAACCACCCAGCCAUAGCCCAGGUCUACUCGGAGACUGGCAUGUGGGGCGAUCUUGUCUCGACCACAAAACCAUGCGACGGCCUCACUGACAGUUUCCCCUGUACCCUUGUCGGCAAUGUCCUUUAUUGGUGGUUGUAUGGGCAUAACAAUGGCAUACUCGAGUUCGAUAUGCAUAGCCAGACACUAGCUGUGACCGAGGGGCCAUCUCAUGCGGACAUUGACUCUAUCAACAGCCGGAUCAUCAGGGGGGAGGAUGGUGGUGUUGGCAUCGCAGUAUUUUCGUAUCUGAGCUUGAAAAUGUGGAAACGCAAGGUCAGUAGUCAGGGUAUUCACACAUGGGUGCUGCCGAAGAUUGUUAUCGUGCACAAGAUCAUUGAUCUUGCACAUCCGAUCAAGGCAAUGGACGCUAUAGUGGGGUACUCAGAGGUUGCUGGUGUGGAUUUUAUAUCGCUGCCUUGCUGUUCAGUUCGGAUCAGGACAGGGAAGGAAGCUAUAGUGGGGUACUCAGAGGAUGCUCAUGCGCUUUUUAUAAAGGUGUCUUGCUGUUCAGGACCCCAUACCUUCAUUGUUGAACUUGAGUCAAUGCAGUCCAGGAAAAUUAAUCAAAGUUUUUUGGAGAAUUCCUAUCAUCCGUUCACAGAUUUCUUCACUGCAGGUACUGUUCGAGCGUGAAGUACUGUUCCAGUCACUGAGCCACCAGUGUACCGUUCCAGCCGUUGAGCCACCACAGCUGCGGGGUGAUCACAUGAUUCAGUUGAUCAAUAGGUUUUCUUCAGCAACCAGGUAUAUACUUUUCAAAUUGUUUCCUUUGUAUGUUUAAGCCAGGUGUAAUAUGCAUCACCAUGAAUCAUAUGAAACUUCAUCAAUUGCAUUCAUAUGUUGAUGAUUUGAUAUGAUACAGAGUUCUAAAUUCAUCUCCUAUAUGAAGAUAACAACAAACAACAACAAAGCCUUUAGUCGCAAACAAGUUGGGGUAGGCUAGAGCUGAAACCCAUAAGAAUCUCACAACCAACUCAUGGUUCUAGCACAUGGAUAGCAAGCUUCCACACACCCCUGUCCAUGGCUAGUUCUCUAGUCAUACUCCAGGCCUUCAGAUAUCUCUUUACAGACCCCUCCCAUGUCAAUUUUGGUCUACCCUGACCUCUCUUAACAUUAUCAGCAUGCUUUAGCUGUCCGCUAUGCACUGGAGAAAAAAAAUCAAUAGUUGAAUGUAAGUAAAACAAUCCCAGUAUGUUUUUAUUCACAUGACCAGCCGUUCCAAAUUUCAUCUAACUGCAAUCUCAAAGCUACUAAAAUUCUUUUUUCAUUUGGAUUUUGUUCUAUUAUCAGCACUUGAUCAUACUAGUUGAAUCAGAGAACAGGGGGCAGGUAAGCACUAGGUGGUAAGAGAACUAGGUGAGUAGGGAGGGAGGCACUAUCACGGACAUUCUAAUUUAGAUUUUAUCAGCCCUCACGGUUAUCAUCAUCUCUUUGCAAAUUUUGCAAAAAAUAGUGUUCUGUCAUGGUCAUUUGACAGAAUGAAGAGAAAAACAAGUGUAGGCUGGUAGAAGUGGAACCUUCCGAAUUACCACCUUGCUUUCAACAUAAUAGUUUGUUUCUUCGUUUUCUAUUUGUAUGACAGCAAUAUA